UUUUGAUUAGGGUUCUUCAUUUUGGGGAUUUCUGAGCAACUCGAUUUAGGGCUUUCUCGAAGCAAUCGAUUUGUGUUCUAUUAAUGCUUUUUGUCGAAUUGGAAUGAUGCUGGGUUACACAAUUUUCUCAGUCUUCUUCUCUCCCCGAAAUAUGAAGUCCAUGGCUCCACGCCAACCUCCGCAUCCCACUCACAAGUUUAGCUUUGGAGUUUUAAAGAGAGUAGUGACUGACCCAUUUGGUGGUUUGUCGAAUUGGAAUGAUGAAGACGGAGAUAUUGACCCUUGCUCUUGGUUUGGGGUUGAAUGCUUAGAUGGAAAAAUUGUGGUCUUUGUUAUAUUAAUGCUCUUUGGUGCUUGGACAAGCUGAGCUUUUGCAAAGGAGGUGAAGUUCAAGAGGAUACUGAACAUGGCGUGAAAGACUUCAGAAAUGGAAGGAGAUCCUCCAAAAAGAAAAGUUAGCGGAACAGUUGGACUCUGCAAAUUCCAAGUAUGUAGUUGAAUUUGACAUGAAAGAGGUUGAAAACAGUCUUCGCAAGGAUGUAGUGGAGAAGGUAACAGAGACACAAGGAAAAGGGCGUUAUGGAUAGCUAAAAGAUGGUGGCUUUGUCGUCCCAAACUUCCUUAUACAUACUUUCUUCAAAAGCUUGACAGCUCUGAGGUUGCUGCUGUUGUAUUUACAGAAGACCUAAAAAGAAUAUAUGUUACUAUGAAAGAAGGUUUUCCAUUAGAAUAUGUUGUUGAUAUCCCCCUACACCCGUAUUUGUUUGAGAAUAUCUCAAGUUCUGGAGCUGAAGUUGAUCUUCUU